GCGCUUCUGACAUCACUACGCAUGGUCUCACUAUAAUAUUGAAAUCCUCGUUACGCAAAGCAUAAAAAUCUAUUGUAUUUAAUUAUUGGUGGAUGCCCUUUCUUUGUUUGUUAUUCCCUUAAGACACACAUGAAAACCAAGAAUUGCUGUUUUCAAAACUAUUAUUAAUGUUCGCCUGAUAAGAUGAAGACAAGAAAGAGCGACACGCGGCUUUCGCUGAAAAACGUGGAAAGUAUAUUUGGAAUGCAAGGUCAAAAUUCGUUCGUUGAAUUUUGGUGAAGAAGCCAUUAUCAAUGAAAUUGAAAGCGAUGUGAUUUUCUUCGACAUUUCCACCGGCUGCUGGUUCAGUUCAUUAAAAGUUCCGUUUAUUCAAAACCAUUUGAAAUAUGCAACAAAGGACAAAUACUCUGCAGCAAGGGAACGCAUCUCGCAAGAAGCCGCAAGUCUCUCAUCAAUUUUCAUUCAAUUGCUUCAAGUUUUGUCAACGCCACAAACGAAGAUAAUGUUUACGAAGCUGAAAGCCACAUGUUGUAUGUACUUUGCUCAUUAUUACUUAUUUACUAGGAGUUACUAUCGCAAGGGAAGUGCUGCCCCUCCACCAAGUAAGGUAAAACAGUUUGGAAACUGCUAUUGCGUGUUUUCCAUCAUUUAUCAUCUGCCAUAAACAAUACAAUAAUGAAUGGUAAAAUAAAAAUACAGCAAGAAACCGCAACAACUCGUAUACUUUGUCAUUGCAUAAAGACAAGCUAAUUGUGUCAUCUUUUAUUUUCAAA